UCGCUACUACCGAUUUCGAGUGGUCCGGUGAACCCUUUGGACUGGGAGCGCUUCGUGUGCUUCCGGAAAGUCGAGUAAACCACAUCACUUAGAGGAAGUAA
rnacentral:rRNA from 1 species